rnacentral:rRNA from 1 species
UCCGCAGGCGGUUAUAUAAGUGAAAGGUGAAAUCUUUCGGCUCAACCGAAAAACUGCCUUUUAAACUAUAUAACUUGAGGAUGGAAGAGGAGAGUGGAACUGUCGGUGGAAAGGUGAAAUUUGUGGAUAUCGACAGGAACGCCCGUGGGGAAGCCGGCUCUCUGGUCCAUACCUGACGCUCAGGGACGAAAGCUAGGGGAGCGAACA